rnacentral:tRNA from 1 species
AACACUGUAGCAUAGUGGUAAGGUGCAUGGCUUGUAAUCAAAAGGUUGCUGGUUCAAUUCCCCACUGGGG